rnacentral:rRNA from 1 species
GGCUUGUUGAUUAUGAUUUCAAGUUUAGCCUGCCCAAUGAGUAAUUUAAUGGCCGCGGUAAAUUGACCGUGCAAAGGUAGCAUAAUAAUUAGUUUUUUAAUUGGAAGCUUGUAUGAAAGGUUUGAUGAGGAAAUAUCUGUCUCUGUAGAAAUUUAUUAGAAUUUUAUUUUUAAGUGAAAAAGCUUAAAUAAGUAUAAAAGACGAGAAGACCCUAUAGAGUUUGAUAUUUUAUUUAAUUUUGAGUUUGUAGGGAUGAAUAAUUUAAAAGUAAAUAAAGUAUUUUGUUGGGGUGAUAGGAAAAUUUAGUUAACUUUUCUUCAUAUCUACACUUAUUUGUGAGUGAAUGAUCCUUUAGUUUAGAUUAAAAGAUUAAAUUACCUUAGGGAUAACAGCGUAAUCUUUUUUAGAGUUCUUAUCGAAAAAAGGGGUUGCGACCUCGAUGUUGGAUUAAAAUUUAUUGCUGGUGCAGAGGCUAGUGAAUUAGGUCUGUUCGACCUUUAAAAUUUUACAUGAUCUGAGUUUAAACCGGCGUGAG